UCUCCGUAGGUGAACCUGCGGAGGGAUCAUUACACAAUAAAAUAUGAAGGCUGCCCGCAGCUGGAGUAUUUUAUUACCCUUGUCUUUUGCGCACUUGUUGUUUCCUGGGCGGGUUCGCCCGCCUCCAGGACCACAUGAUAAACCUUUUUUAUGCAGUUGCAAUCAGCGUCAGUACAACAAAUGUAAAUCAUUUACAACUUUCAACAACGGAUCUCUUGGUUCUGGCAUCGAUGAAGAACGCAGCGAAAUGCGAUACGUAGUGUGAAUUGCAGAAUUCAGUGAAUCAUCGAAUCUUUGAACGCACAUUGCGCCCUUUGGUAUUCCAAAGGGCAUGCCUGUUCGAGCGUCAUUUGUACCCUCAAGCUUUGCUUGGUGUUGGGCGUUUUUGUCUUUGGUUGCCCAAAGACUCGCCUUAAAACGAUUGGCAGCCGGCCUUUCUGGUUUCGCAGCGCAGCACAUUUUUGCGCUUGCCAUCAGCAAAACGGCACUCCAUCAAGACUCUAUAUCACUUUUGACCUCGGAUCAGGUAGGGAUACCCGCUGAACUUAA
rnacentral:rRNA from 1 species